rnacentral:lncRNA from 1 species
CCAUCAAUGUUUGAGAUGUAAUGGAGAAGAUAAUAUUAUCCCAGAAGUCCACCUAGAAUAAAAGAAUCAAGAAGAUAAGCAUGCCAGCUGGAAGAUACAAGAUAAGAAGCAAUAAUGGAGAUAUGAAAAAGCAGCAGAUACGACAACGAAAAGAUAUCAACGGAGUAAUAAUAGAAUAUAGGCUAGAUUUUUAAACUUUUAGCCUUUUUAGCCCUUUUUAGCCUUUUUAGACUUUUUGACUAUGACAUUAAUAAUUCUUGUCUCAUUAGGAGACUUUUUUAGACUAAUUUUAGAAAACGUGAAAGAAAUAUGAAUACUCUUGUAAAGAUUCAGUCUAUAAAUAAGAUGAACCGGAGGCAUUGCAAAGCAAGCCUUCAUGUGUUGAAGCAAAUACUCUCUUUUGUCCACAACAAAUAUUUUGCUUAGUUAUUAA